rnacentral:tmRNA from 1 species
GGGGACGACGGGUAUUGACAGCGGGCUGAGGUUGCGGGUGUAAGCAUGUCGGAAGUUGGAAGAACCUUCCGUGUAAAAUUCUUCUAAAACAAUAGCUGGCAACAAUAGCUACGCUAUGGCUGCUUAAUCCGGAGGAUUAACCAUUAGCCAUCGUCCCGCCGAACCAUCACACUACUGGGUCGGAGUUCGGGGCGUCGAAAGGUAGUGUCGGAGGGGCCGAUUUCGCUGAGCCCUAUCUGUACUAGCGAAUACGGAAUUAAUUCGGUUUGUUGUCGACCUGAUUAGUUCCCGACAAUCCAAGGACAACUAAGCAUGUAGAAGACGCGUGGCGUCCCUGUUCUGGACGAGGGUUCGAAUCCCUCCGUCUCCACAG